rnacentral:lncRNA from 1 species
GGCUAAGUGACUCACAGGUGAAAAGCUGUUACAGCGUGGAUCUGCUGGACAAAGGGAAGAUUCAUGUCCUGAGAGGGACGGAACCUGACGGCCCAAGAUUUCAUCACACUACUCAGAACUGCAGUUGCUGCUGUAAAUGGAUUCCAAAACCACUUUUAAUUGACCCACCCUACAUUGCCUCAGUUCAUCUCUCAUUCUGCACCAGCUGCCUGUUGUCCCAAAGUUUCAAUGCUAAUUCCACUACAGCAUGCUCCUGGAAACUUAUGAUAAGGAAUCUGGAACCAUCUGGUUUUAGUUGACUUUUUAAAAAUACGUUUUAGUGUCACAGUUGUAUUAUUAAACAUAAUUAUGCCUGGUA